rnacentral:rRNA from 1 species
UGGGGAAUCUUGCGCAAUGGGCGAAAGCCUGACGCAGCCAUGCCGCGUGAAUGAUGAAGGUCUUAGGAUUGUAAAAUUCUUUCAGCAGGGACGAUAAUGACGGUACCUGCAGAAGAAGCCCCGGCUAACUUCGUGCCAGCAGCCGCGGUAAUACGAAGGGGGCUAGCGUUGCUCGGAAUUACUGGGCGUAAAGGGAGCGUAGGCGGAUCGUUAAGUUAGAGGUGAAAGCCCAGGGCUCAACCCUGGAAUUGCCUUUAAAACUGGCGGUCUUGAGUAUGGCAGAGGUGUGUGGAACUCCGAGUGUAGAGGUGAAAUUCGUAGAUAUUCGGAAGAACACCAGUGGCGAAGGCGACACACUGGGCCAUUACUGACGCUGAGGCUCGAAAGCGUGGGGAGCAAACAGG